rnacentral:rRNA from 1 species
GACGAACGCUGGCGGCGUGCCUAAUACAUGCAAGUUGAGCGAUGAAGCUUGGUGCUUGCACCAAUUUGAAGAGCAGCGAACGGGUGAGUAACGCGUGGGGAAUCUGCCUUUGAGCGGGGGACAACAUUUGGAAACGAAUGCUAAUACCGCAUAAUAACUUUAAACAUAAGUUUUAAGUUUGAAAGAUGCAAUUGCAUCACUCAAAGAUGAUCCCGCGUUGUAUUAGCUAGUUGGUGAGGUAAAGGCUCACCAAGGCGAUGAUACAUAGCCGACCUGAGAGGGUGAUCGGCCACAUUGGGACUGAGACCCGGCCCAAACGCCUACGGGAGGCAGCAGGAGGGAAUCGUCGGCAAUGGACGAAAGUCUGACCGAGCAACGCCGCGUGAGUGAAGAAGGUUUUCGGAUCGUAAAACUCUGUUGGUAGAGAAGAACGUUGGUGAGAGUGGAAAGCUCAUCAAGUGACGGUAACUACUCAGAAAGAGACGGCUAACUACGUG